AACGAACGCUGGCGGCAUGCCUAACACAUGCAAGUCGAACGAGAUCUUCGGAUCUAGUGGCGCACGGGUGCGUAACACGUGGGAAUCUGCCCUUGGGUUCGGAAUAACUCUCCGAAAGGAGUGCUAAUACCGGAUGAUGUCGAAAGACCAAAGAUUUAUCGCCCAGGGAUGAGCCCGCGUAGGGUUAGCUAGUUGGUGAGGUAAAGGCUCACCAAGGCGACGAUCCUUAGCUGGUCUGAGAGGAUGAUCAGCCACACUGGGACUGAGACACGGCCCAGACUCCUACGGGAGGCAGCAGUGGGGAAUAUUGGACAAUGGGCGAAAGCCUGAUCCAGCAAUGCCGCGUGAGUGAUGAAGGCCUUAGGGUUGUAAAAUUCUUUUACCAGGGACGAUAAUGACGGUACCUGGAGAAAAAGCCCCGGCUAACUUCGUGCCAGCCGCCGCCGUAAGAC
rnacentral:rRNA from 1 species